CCUGUACCCACUUCAACGACCUGUUCCCCAAGAUACCUCAGGCCCUCUAGCUACCCGUUCACCAGAUACAAACAAGGGAUAUGAUAAAUUCAUUCACAUUUCGGUGGUUUCAAUUUCAAGAAAUUUGCUUCUCCCCAGACGGCGUGCAUUUGCACAAAAACAUUGAAGCAAGAAAGUAAUGUUGUGUAACUCAAAAAAGUAAGUCACAGGCUGGGCGCGGUGGCUCACGCCUGUAAUCCCAGCACUUUGGGAGGCCGAGGCGGGUGGAUCACGAGGUCAAGAGAUCGAGACCAUCCUGGCCAACAUGGUGAAACCCCGUCUCUACUAAAAAUACAAAAAGUAGCUGGGCGUGGUGCCGCGUGCCUGUAGUCCCAGCUACUCAGGAGGCUGAGGCAGGAUAAUCGCUUGAAUCCGGGAGGUGGAGGUUGCAGUGAGCCGAGAUCGCGCCACUGCACUCCAGCCUGGCGACAGAGCAAGACUGCGUCUCAAAAAAAAAAAAAAAAAAAAGGCUGGAGUGCAACGGCACAAUCUCGGCUCACCGCAACCUCCGCCUCCCGGGUUCAAGCGAUUCUGCUGCCUCAGCCUCCUGAGUAGCUGGGAUUACAGGCAUGUGCCACCACGCCCGGCUAAUUUUGUAUUUUUAGUACAGAUAGGGUUUCUCCAUAUUGGUCAGGCUGGUCUCGAACUCCCAACCUCAGGUGAUCCGCAUGCCUCAGCCUCCCAAAGUUCUGGGAUUACAGGCAUGAGCCACCGCACCCGGCCAUUUGUAUGUAAUUUUCUAUAUUUAUUGAAAUGCAUUUUAAGUAAUAUGAAAGCAUUUUUCUCCUUACAAUGGAAAAACCAACUUGAUUUUACAUUUAUUUAUAUAACCUGACUUAAUUCUAUGUAAGUCAAGUGAAAAAGGAAACAACUGCUCUGUGGAAUCAACCUGAAGAUGUCUAAUUUUUCCUCUGAUGCCACCAGACUUAAAGCAGUUCACGAUCCUCUCUACAAAGAAGUAUAUUUAGGUUCUCCCUCUCCCUCUCCCUCUCCCUCUCCCCACGGUCUCCCUCUGAUGCCGAGCCGAAGCUGGACUGUACUGCUGCCAUCUCGGCUCACUGCAGCCUCCCUGCCUGAUUCUCCUGCCUCAGCCUGCCCAGUGCCUGCGAUUGCAGGUGCGCGCCGCCACGCCUGACUGGUUUUCGUAUUUUUUUGGUGGAGACGGGGUUUCGCUGUGUUGGCCAGGCUGGUCUCCAGCUCCUAACCGCGAGUGAUCCGCCAGCCUUGGCCUCCCGAGGUGCCAGGAUGGCAGACGGAGUCGCGUUCACUCAGUGCUCAAUGGUGCCCAGGCUGGAGUGCAGUGGCAUGAUCUCGGCUCGCUACAACCUCCACCUCCCAGCUGCCUGCCUUGGCCCCCCAAAGUGCCGAGAUUGCAGCCUCUGCCUGGCCACCACCCCGUCUGGGAAGUGAGGAGCGUCUCUGCCUGGCCGCCCAUCGUCUGGGAUGUGAGGAGCCUCUCUGACUGGCUGCCCAGUCUGGAAAGUGAGGAGCGUCUCUGCCCGGCCGCCAUCCCAUCUAGGAAGUGAGGAGCGUCUCUGCCAGGCCGCCCAUCGUCUGAGAUGUGGGGAGCGCCUCUGCCCUGCCGCCCCGUCUGGGAUGUGAGGAGCGUCUCUGCCCGGCUGACCCGUCUGAGAAGUGAGGAGACCCUCUGCCUGGCAACCGCCCCGUCUGAGAACCCAAAGACUAGAAUUCCAUUUCUAAACCCAGCCCAGCAGCCGGAAGUCAUGAAGCAGUCAACCUGCCUGGACAUCCAGCUACGCUCUGCUGCGCCAUUCUAUCCACCCAUCAAGACUCCCCUCCCUUCUACUGCCUAAGAGGAAAGAAAGUAAAGAGAAGAAGAAUGGACUGCACAAUGAAGCUAUCAGAUCAGCCCACGUUGGGAUGGGGUCAAUAGAUGCAAAAUGAACACCAUUCUUCAAAGUAAUCAUCUAACAGCAUGGAUAACCCUCCUAAAAGCCAACUGGGAUUGAAUUACUCCUCUGCCAAGAACCCUCUGCUGCACCUUAUCCAAGGCCCACCAUAAAAUGAUGCCAGCCCACCUCACCCAAAACCUCUUCCAGAAAGUCCCAGCUCCACCCUGGUUCUCUCCUCCACAGAUGUCAGACCUGUAUGUGGUCUGAUGGCUCUCUCAGCCUCCUUCAUUCUCUCCCCAUUUCUGCCACAUUUUCCCCAAUAAAUCUUGUGUGUGUCUAAUUCCAUUUUGGUGUCUGCAUCUCAGAUGAUCUGAACUAACACAAAUGGAGAGUGAAAAACAAAAAAAAAAGUCUGGCCACAUUUAUAAAUUCAUCCCAGGCUGCAAAGAGUUAGACAGCACUUCCCCAAAGAAAACUGUCACGUAAAACAUUCAAAGAUUCUCAGUUUAGCCAUCAUCUAGCCAGUUCUUCCCACUGAUCACAUUUUCCCAAUUUAUAGAUAGGAAUACUGAGCCUCAAGAGGUUAAGUAAAUCGCCUGAAGAUUAUACAGCUAGUAAAUGAUGAAAUCAGGGCUCUUGACUCAAAGUCCCAGUGUCAUCCAACUACACUUGAGUGGGCUUGAAACGAAUCCUAAGAGUUUUGUAAAUGGUAUAUCAUUAUCUAACAUAAGGUACUAUGAACCACUGCCAUCAUCAUCCUCAUUUCUCUCUGAGGAUCUUUGCAGUAAAGUGAAGGUAGUAGUAGAUCUGUCAUACUGAAUGUUGAAGUCAGAAUAAUGGCUCCCCAAAGAUGCCCAAACCCUAACCCCAAACCCUGUGAUUAUAUAACCUUACAUAGCAAAAUGGACUUUGCAGAUGUGAUUAAGUUUAGGAUUCUGAGAUAGAGAGAUGACCCUGGAUUAUUCCAGGGUCCCAGUGUAGUCACAAGUGUCCUUAUGAGAGGAAAGCAGGAGCACCAGAGUCAAAAGAGAUACAAGGCUAGAGGGUGAGAGGGAGCCCUGAAGAUGCCACUCUGCUGCUUUGAAGAUAGAAGGGGCUACAAGCCAAGGAACACAGGCAGCCUCUAAAAGCUGGAAAAGUUGCUGGGCGUGGUGGCUCAUGCCUGUAAUCCCAGCACUUUGGGAGGCCAAGGCGGGUGGAUCACG
rnacentral:lncRNA from 1 species